AAGAUGGUUCAGACAUAAACAAGUGCAAGCGCUAAGAAAAGACUAAAAAACAAGAGAUGCAAGGUACAUGUGUAAUAAAAGGGAAAGGAUACUAGACAUUGGUAUUCAGUGUGAUCGAUGGAGAAGACUGGGAUUGAAACGGACGAGAAAAUGAUGGAAAUAUUGAUCGAUGCAACUACUUCUGAACUAGAGAGCUUCAACAAUCAUCUUUUGAUGUAUGCUCCAAAGCGAAAUGCUUUCAGCUAUGCUGUUUAUAGAUGCAGGUGUCAGUUAGCAGCAAUAGAUUAUUCAUAACACUUGAAUCGUCCUGUUUUGUUGGACAAAGAAGGAAAUUAGAGGGGAAAGAGUGCACUCAAAAGCUGCUGGUAAUUGGAGCACAAGACCUAUGAAAAAACCCAAGGAGUAUUCAUACAUAACAGGUUUGAUCACUGAAGUUACAAAUUAAUUCACCAUAGGCAAGAGAAGAAUAAGUGGCAAAUGUGAACAGCUGUCUGAAGACCCAGAAAGAAUUAGGUCAACUAUAGCCCCUGUCACCCCUCCACCUACAUCGAUACUUAGUGAUCAGCAUGUCUCUAGAUUGAGAAAAGCGAAAAAAAUGAAUAGUUGCCCAAGACGUGUUUGAUAUUCAUUUGAAGUUGAAGCAGAAGUUAUCUUUGUUAGAUAACUAUUAAGUUUAACAUCUUUAGUGUUAAUAUAAUUUUAGAAGUGUUUUGAAAAUGUACAAUCUUACAUUAUGUUGUAAAUAAUGAAUGCUCUUGGUUGUACAAUGCAAUGACAUUUUUCAGGAAGUUUUAAUAUUGAAUUUAGCAUAAAAUAUUUUUUUAUGUCCCCCACUAUAGUAGUGAGAGACAUAUUGUUUUUGCCCUGUCUGUUGGUUGGUCUGUUGGUUGGUUUGCGCCAAUUUUAACAUUUUGCAAUAACUUUUGCUAUAUUGAAGAUAGCAACUUCAUAUUUGGCAUGCAUGUGUAUCUCAUGAAGCUGCACAUUUUUAGUGGUGAAAGGUCAAGGUCAUCCUUCAAGGUCAGAGGUCAAAUAUAUGUGGCCCAAAUCGCUUAUUUUAUGAAUACUUUUGCAAUAUUGAAGAUAGCAACUUGAUAUUUGGCAUGCGUGUGUAUCUCAUGGAGCUGCACAUUUUGAGUGGUGAAAGAUCAAGGUCAUCCUUCAAGGUCAAAUAUAUGGGUCAAAAUUGCUCAUGUAAUGUCACUUCUGCAAUAUUGAAGCUAGCAAUUUUAUAUUUGAAAUGCAUGUGUAUCUCAAGGAGCUGCACAUUUUGAGUGUUGAAGGGUCAAGGUCAUGGUCAUCCUUCAAGGUCAAACGUCAUAAUAGGGGGACAUUGUGUUUAACAAACACAUCUUGUUUAUUUUUAAUAUAUUUUGUGCAAUUUUUAUCAAUACAUUUUUUACACAUAUAAAGAACACAAUUUUUCUUACAAAAAGUUUCGUUUUUUAUUUGAUUAUUGAUAUGUGUUUUUCAUUGUCUUCUUUAUAGCCUGUAUUUAAUAAACCAUUGUAGUCAA